rnacentral:rRNA from 1 species
CAGCAGCCGCGGUAAUACGUAGGGUGCGAGCGUUAAUCGGAAUUACUGGGCGUAAAGCGUGCGCAGGCGGUUGUGUAAGACAGGUGUGAAAUCCCCGGGCUUAACCUGGGAACUGCGCUUGUGACUGCACAGCUAGAGUAUGGCAGAGGGGGGUGGAAUUUCACGUGUAGCAGUGAAAUGCGUAGAGAUGUGGAGGAACACCGACGGCGAAGGCAGCCCCCUGGGCCAAUACUGACGCUCAUGCACGAAAGCGUGGGGAGCAAACAGGAUUAGAUACCCGUGUAGUCCCUGUCUCUUAUAC